rnacentral:misc_RNA from 1 species
AACUCCUCCAUUUGGUUUCCUCCUUGAACUCGGGGCCGCCUUCGGGCGGCCUCUUUUCAUUGGUGC